GACGAACGCUGGCGGCGUGCUUAAUACAUGCAAGUCGAACGGAAAGGCCCUGCUUUUGUGGGGCGCUCGAGUGGCGAACGGGUGAGUAACACGUGAGUAACCUGCCCCUGACUUUGGGAUAACUUCAGGAAACUGGGGCUCAUACCGGAUAGGAGCUCCUGCUGCAUGGUGGGGGUUGGAAAGUUUCGGCGGUUGGGGAUGGACUCGCGGCUUAUCAGCUUGUUGGUGGGGUAGUGGCUUACCAAGGCUUUGACGGGUAGCCGGCCUGAGAGGGUGACCGGCCACAUUGGGACUGAGAUACGGCCCAGACUCCUACGGGAGGCAGCAGUGGGGAAUAUUGCACAAUGGGCGGAAGCCUGAUGCAGCAACGCCGCGUGCGGGAUGACGGCCUUCGGGUUGUAAACCGCUUUCGCCUGUGACGAAGCGUGAGUGACGGUAAUGGGUAAAGAAGCACCGGCUAACUACGUG
rnacentral:rRNA from 1 species